GGCAUGCCAAGCCAUCCAAGUGUAUAUCUGACAUGAAAAUUAAAAGCUCCUCAUAAAAAGCAUCGGAGGCGGCUUAGUAUAAACUGUAGGUCCCUCCAUUUGUUGAAACACUUCAAGACCGAAAAAGCCACAAAUUAGAGGAGGAGCUCGGCCUAAAUCAUUUCAGCGGUUACAAAGCGACAAUUAUAUAUACAUACAUAUGUAAUGGAGAAAAAAGGUUUUUGGUUAAUGCUAAAUAAAUAAAUAAAUUUACGUUCAAAUGUAGUCGAUAAGAGUUUGAGCUUCAAAUGGGCAUCAAAUAAAUUUGCAUAGUUUGUGUAUUUCUUUUACGAAAACCUGUGUAUACUCAUUCUUCUAUAUGAUGAAGGUAAGAGGGUGCGCCAUUAUGUUUCAAUAAUGAUUACGGAUAAGUGAAAACCUCGGCUGGCUGGAGUAAAUUCCAUCAUUUCAAAUUUCAAGACAUCAAAAGUCUCGGAUUUAACUACGUUGACAAGUGACUUCACAUUACCACAAAAAGAAACUAUUGCAGUGUUGUUAAGUCGGCCCUGGAAGCCACGUCACAGGCAAAU